AGAGUUUGAUCAUGGCUCAGGAUGAACGCUAGCUACAGGCUUAACACAUGCAAGUCGAGGGGAAACGAUAGAGAAAGCUUGCUUUUUCUAGGCGUCGACCGGCGCACGGGUGAGUAACGCGUAUCCAACCUGCCCACCACUUGGGGAUAACCUUGCGAAAGUAAGACUAAUACCCAAUGACGUCUCUAGAAGGCAUCUGAAAGGGAUUAAAGAUUUAUCGGUGAUGGAUGGGGAUGCGUCUGAUUAGCUUGUUGGCGGGGUAACGGCCCACCAAGGCUACGAUCAGUAGGGGUUCUGAGAGGAAGGUCCCCCACAUUGGAACUGAGACACGGUCCAAACUCCUACGGGAGGCAGCAGUGAGGAAUAUUGGUCAAUGGACGAGAGUCUGAACCAGCCAAGUAGCGUGCAGGAUGACGGCCCUAUGGGUUGUAAACUGCUUUUAUAAGGGAAUAAAGUGAGCCUCGUGAGGCUUUUUGCAUGUACCUUAUGAAUAAGGACCGGCUAAUUCCGUGCCAGCAGCCGCGGUAAUACGGAAGGUCCGGGCGUUAUCCGGAUUUAUUGGGUUUAAAGGGAGCGUAGGCCGGAGAUUAAGCGUGUUGUGAAAUGUAGGUGCUCAACAUCUGCACUGCAGCGCGAACUGGUUUCCUUGAGUACGCACAAAGUGGGCGGAAUUCGUGGUGUAGCGGUGAAAUGCUUAGAUAUCACGAAGAACUCCGAUUGCGAAGGCAGCUCACUGGAGCGCAACUGACGCUGAAGCUCGAAAGUGCGGGUAUCGAACAGGAUUAGAUACCCUGGUAGUCCGCACGGUAAACGAUGGAUGCCCGCUGUUGGUCUGAAUAGGUCAGCGGCCAAGCGAAAGCAUU
rnacentral:rRNA from 1 species